GGUGUAUCUCUUUUACAAAUAGCUCUUUUCAUUACCACCUUAUUAAACAGCUGGUAAUUAUUGAGUUCCUCCUCUUUGUGAGGCACUACAAAAUAUAAUAUGAAAGUAUAUUUCAUUCAUUCAUUUUAACAUUUUUGAGCAGAGAUAUAACAAGUUCUGCCUUUAUUCAUGCAUAUUAUGAUCUAGACAGAAAAAAAAAUUAGCAAGCAAUAAGAAAUAAUACAAUGAAUUCUAAUUGUUUAUAUAUUAAACAUAGAUUUAAAUAGAAUAGCGUUGUCAUUCUGUUUAAACUGAAAAUUUGCAAUGAAGCAAAACUCAAUGUUUUUUUUUAAAGUUCAUUGAAAAAGUUCAUCUAAAAUUUAAAUCGGUAUAUAAAAAAUAACAAGCUUUUUCAAAUUAAAAUCAAUUGAUAUAUGGUAGGUAUAAUUAUAGGAAAAUAUUUUGGGGAAUAAGCUGUAAAUUAUGCCUUAUUUUAAUUUAUUUCAGAAAUGUAUGUAUUAUAGUCAAAAUUUUAGAAAUCAUAUGAGACAAUUAUUUUAUUUUCAAAUGGGAAAAUUAUAGCAUAUAAAUCAAUGGUAUUCAGUCUGUAUUUUUCUAAAUAAAUUUCCCUUUCCUCAGACACAAAAGUAAAUUAUACUUUCCUGUGUAAAUAUUUCAUAUAGGUACAUUAGAUGAAAAGAAAGGUGAUAUUCAUAUGGCAUUUGGAACUAACAAAUGGAGUUUAUUAACAUAGAAAAUUCUGAGAAUUUUCUAAUUGUGAGGAAUUGGAUAAUUGUCAAUCAAGCAUUUCAUGUUCUGAAUAACAGGAAAAACACUUUUGGAAAGGGAAACAAAGGACACUGCAACAAAAUGAAAUUUUAGUGACAUCGGGUUUCCAAGAUCCAAAACAAUCACAGAUGAUAGCAUAAGAUGAAAAAUUCUUUAACUCUCAGGCAUUCUUUGGGAUAAAGGCAAGAAAUGAAUAUUUUCUUCAGGAUCAUUUUCCUUUUCCUGUUUACACCAACACUGGAGGAAUAUAAUUGUAGUAUGAAACUCUAUUAUGAUGCAUGUGUAAGAGGAAGCUUAUCACAUGUUCGUUUGUAGGGAAAUCAGCAAAACCAUAGAACUGAAAUGGAAAUUCCAUAGGCAAUGACUCAGUGAAUAGAGCAGCAGUUCAUUCCAGGCUAGAUCCAAUUUUAGAAUAUGUGCUGCCAAACAAGAGUGAGUAGUUUUGGCAUGGGUUAGUUAAUGCUAAACUUAGCACUUGGUAUUUCCAAGAAGCUCCAACAGUCUUCCUCUUGAAGUAAACUUGUGUUCUUGUGCCUUAUGAAGUUAAUUGUUAUUUUUAUUAGUUAUUGAUAAUAAGGAUCACAUUAGAUAUCAUGGCAUGCUAAUAGAAAAAGGGGUAGCCAAUAUUUAGGAUUUUUGCCUUUUAAAAAUGUUGAUUAUUAAGUAAAAUUUAUUUUCUCUUUUUAUAUGAGAACUUAACUUCUCCCUUGGUUAUAUUACUGUCAUUUAUGUACUUAGCAAUAGGACUUGAGAACAUUGUUAAGAUAAGUGUUAAUUAUAACUUAAGAAAUUUGGCUAGCCAUGCCGCCUAAGUACCAGAAAGGGCUUCUGUAAAGGAAUAUAGGGCAAAUUCAUUAGGAAAAAAAAAAGGAUGAAUUUCUGUUACUGAAUCUGAUAUUGUAUUUAUCAAUUUUGCUAAUAAAUACAAAAAGUCAUAUAUAUGUAUGUGUAUAUGCAUAUAUAUCUAUUUUAUUCAGCAUAUAAUAUUCCUUUUUGAGAAGACUCUACCUAUACCUUUGAGUCUUUAGGUGAGAUUUAAAAAAUUUCCUUGGCUUGUAUUAUAUUUAAUUUUGAUAGUAGGCAUUGGAUAGUCCUUGUUACUGGUAAAUAUUUGUAUCAAAUCUACUGAAUAUUUUAAAAACACACUGGAUUGAAACUUGUUUAUAAAUUGCUGUCCAUCACCAUAGAUGCUUUUGGGGGCAAGAAAAUCCUUAAAGACAAAAUGUUAUCUAUAUUAAUAAAGAUCAUUGAAUGUUCUUCCAAAAAAUCGACAUGAAAAAUAAAAUUUAAACAAACAAAAGUUUUAAGUUUGCCACAUAGUCAAGUGUUUCAGUCUUGCCUAAGUAUCUUUGAUAGAAAUCACCUGUAUAAAAUUAUAGUUUGCAGUUUUGAAACAUGUCCAGUAUUGUCCAGUUAUAAUUAGCAAUAAAAAUUCACUAGAAAUAGAUGUAAUUCUGACAUGAUCAUCUGUCUCUAAUGUCAUCUA
rnacentral:lncRNA from 1 species